UUUUCUUUAGCUUAGGUGAGGGGUCAGAGUUGCAUUCAGUGUGGAUAGUUGCUUGCAAGUUUUA
rnacentral:tRNA from 1 species